AUUGAACGCUGGCGGCAUGCUUUACACAUGCAAGUCGAACGGUAACAGGUUAAGCUGACGAGUGGCGAACGGGUGAGUAAUGCAUCGGAACGUGCCCGAUCGUGGGGGAUAACGCAGCGAAAGCUGCGCUAAUACCGCAUACGAUCUGAGGAUGAAAGCGGGGGACCGGAAGGCCUCGCGCGAUCGGAGCGGCCGAUGUCAGAUUAGGUGGAUGGUGGGGUAAAGGCUCACCAAGCCAACGAUCUGUAGCUGGUCUGAGAGGACGACCAGCCACACUGGGACUGAGACACGGCCCAGACUCCUACGGGAGGCAGCAGUGGGGAAUUUUGGACAAUGGGCGAAAGCCUGAUCCAGCAAUGCCGCGUGCAGGAAGAAGGCCUUCGGGUUGUAAGCUGCUUUUGUACGGAGCGAAAAGGCUCUCUCUAAUACAGGGGGCUCAUGACGGUACCGUAAGAAUAAGCACCGGCUAACUACGUGCCAGCCGCCGCAGUAA
rnacentral:rRNA from 1 species